GCCGGGUGUUGUGGCAGGCACCUGUAAUCCCAGCUACUUGGGAGGCUGAGGCAGGAGAAUCACUUGAACCCAGGAGGCAGAGGUUGCAGUGAGCUGAGAUCGCACCACUGCACUCCAGCCUGGGUGACAGAGUGAGACUCUGUCUCAA
ensembl:misc_RNA Metazoa_SRP Metazoan signal recognition particle RNA